AAGCUUACCAGAGUGCCAUCGAGUUCCUUCCCCUAAGGAUCAGACUUCCAGACUCAAGUGUCAUUUGACCUGGUAUCCAGCUUAAUACAGCCUCUGCUUUUGAAUAGAUUUCCUUACAAGUGGCAAUCUCUAAUAGGGUCAUGUCGAGAGGCAACCCGACUGCAUACUACCUACUGCACGUUAACGUGAUGAAGGUCUCUCCUGAGCACACGGCUUCAUAAACCAGCUGCACAAGCAACUGCAUCUGGGGAUCUGCUUCAAGAGAAACUUAACUAAAGCAAGAAUGGGCUCUAACUUCAGGAUACCUAGGAUUCUAACCUCGUUCCAUUACUUACCAACGAUAUGACCUGGGAAAAAUUAUAUACCUGCUGUAAGCCUCAAUGUCCUCAUUUGAAAUACACACAUAAUAGUAGGAUCUCUCUUACAAGGUUGCUGAAAAUAUAAACAGUGG
rnacentral:lncRNA from 1 species